rnacentral:pre_miRNA from 1 species
AUGUAGGACAAUCUGUCUUAAAGUAAGGAUAAAUUGCUCUAAAAGAAAAGAAUAUUGAUCAUUAUCUAUUCAAGUCAAGUUUCUUGU